UACGUAGGGGGCUAGCGUUGUCCGGAAUCAUUGGGCGUAAAGCGCGUGUAGGCGGUCCGGUAAGUCCGCUGUGAAAGUCGGGGGCUCAACCCUCGGAUGCCGGUGGAUACUGUCGGGCUUGAGUACGGAAGAGGCGAGUGGAAUUCCUGGUGUAGCGGUGAAAUGCGCAGAUAUCAGGAGGAACACCAAUUGCGAAGGCAGCUCGCUGGGACGUUACUGACGCUGAGGCGCGAAAGCUAGGGGAGCAAACAGG
rnacentral:rRNA from 1 species